rnacentral:rRNA from 1 species
GACGUAGGUGGCGAACGUUAUCCGGAAUCAUUGGGCGUAAAGGGUGCGUAGAUGGCAUGAUAAGUUAUUAGUGGGAAAUCGAGGCUCAACCUCGUGGAAGCUGGUAAUACUGUUUUGCUUGAGUGCAGGAGAGGUUAACGGAACUCCAUGUGGAGCGGUAAAAUGCAUAGAUAUAUGGAAGAACAACAAUAACGGCGAAGGCAGUUAACUAAUCUGCUACUGACAUUGAGGCACGAAAGCGUGGGGAGCAAAACGG